CAAGCUGCGAUACGUAAUGUGAAUUGCAGAGCUCAGUGAAUCAUCGAAUCUUUGAACGCACAUUGCGCCUUCCGGCAUCCCGGGAGGCACGCCUGUCCGAGCGUCAUCGCCCCCUCCAGGCCCUGUCGGGGCCUGUGCUUGAGCCUGUUGCCCGGGCAUGGGCAGGCUUACAACCAGCGCAACCGAACGUCCUCGGAACCCCGAGCGCAGUGGCUGCAAAUGCUCGGCGUGGUUUCGGGCGGCGACGGCGGAAGUCAACCCUCGUGCAGGCCUUCUGGUUGACCUCGGAUCAGGUGGGGAUACCCGCUGAACUUAAGC
rnacentral:misc_RNA from 1 species